rnacentral:siRNA from 1 species
AAACUGGCCUAAACCCAACUGGAC